AACUUUUGUGAUGAAUUUUAAUUUAAUUCUUGAUAGGAAGGGUAUGACACAUAAUGAGUACCACUACUAGCUGAUAUUUUU
rnacentral:snoRNA from 1 species